UUCCAUUGCUAAGUCAAGGCUUCUUCCUACGACUCUGUCGUGUUUUCAAUGGAGGUUUUGUCUGUUACAGCUUUGGUAGAUUAACACUAGCCCGCGCCGACCUUCUUUCUGAAGCUAGGCUGACGUGCUUUCGUUUUGAAGGCGCGUCGUUAAGGGCCAAGUCGCGCUUUGUUUUUGAGUUGAGAUUUGCUUCGCCUAUUAUGGGCACUCUUAUAGCAGUUCUCUUAGUAACAUCUCACACAUCC
rnacentral:snoRNA from 1 species